AUUGAACGCUGGCGGCAUGCCUUACACAUGCAAGUCGAACGGCAGCACGGGUGCUUGCACCUGGUGGCGAGUGGCGAACGGGUGAGUAAUACAUCGGACAUGUCCUGUAGUGGGGGAUAGCCCGGCGAAAGCCGGAUUAAUACCGCAUACGAUCUAUGGAUGAAAGCGGGGGACCUUCGGGCCUCGCGCUAUAGGGUUGGCCGAUGGCUGAUUAGCUAGUUGGUGGGGUAAAGGCCUACCAAGGCGACGAUCAGUAGCUGGUCUGAGAGGCGACCAGCCACACUGGGACUGAGACACGGCCCAGACUCCUACGGGAGGCAGCAGUGGGGAAUUUUGGACAAUGGGCGAAAGCCUGAUCCAGCAAUGCCGCGUGUGUGAAGAAGGCCUUCGGGUUGUAAAGCACUUU
rnacentral:rRNA from 1 species